rnacentral:lncRNA from 1 species
UUUAAUAUUAUUUUAAUUUAUUUUACUUUUUUGAAUAACAAAUUUGUACUUAAUUACUAGUGGAUUAUUAAUUCAUAUUUCACAAAUUUACUAAAAAAAUAAUUAAAUGAUGCAUUUUCUCUUCUGGUCUUUCAUUUCAAGUACGAUAAUAUAAACCUCCCCAUCUUUUCCAUAGGCGGCAAACUGAAACCCUACACCCAUCUUCUACCGAAGUUGUGAUCCCAGUUAAGGUUGUGAUUUCGAAGGUAAGUCCUCUCUUUGGGUGUUUAUUCUCUCCCUUUUUCCUUUCUCUGUUCUAAUUUGUCCCCAAUUCUUAUUUUAGAAUUGUGAUUAUGCUUUCUCUGUUCGAAUUUGGCCCCAAUUCCUGUUUUUAUAGAGAUGUUUUACGAACUGUUAUUGACAAUUUGAUUGUUCAUGUGUUUGUGGAGAUUUAAUAUAUAUAUAUAUAUAUAUAUAUAUAUAUAUGAUUUUGAUAGCGUAUUUANNNNNNNNNNNNNNNNNNNNNNNNNNNNNNNNNNNNNNNNNNNNNNNNNNNNNNNNNNNNNNNNNNNNNNNNNNNNNNNNNNNNNNNNNNNNNNNNNNNNUAAACUGAUUAGGAAAAGACUUAAAUUGGAAUUUUUCUUUUGUUGGAAUGGAAGGGUUACUCAUUACUUCAUUAAUUUGACAUUAAUUUUGUAGUCUUUUGUUUGUAAUUUAAUUAAUAUUUACUUUAAUUAUUAUCCUACCAGAUUAAUAUUAAAUAUAUAUAUACCAAUCUUGUAUUUCUAUUUAUUUGUUUGGGCCUACAGAGAUAAAUUUGGUUUUGGAAUUUUGAUGUGUUUAAUUGUUAAAGUAUAAUUUGAUAUAUGAAAGGAAUUUGAUCUUAAAUUAUGUUUUGGUUGGUUAUGUUUUUCAUUUGUUUUAUCCUAUUCCAGUUGUUACCCUCUGACUUAAACUUAAAGUUGGCUUUAUUUUGUCAAAAUUUCUAACCAAUUUGUUUAAUUAAUCUCAAACUCAUCUCACACCCCAAUUUGUCCAUUUGUGAUUCCUACCUUUAUGAUAGCUGAAUUUGCACCAUCUGCAAAAAUUAUAAAGCAGAACAUAGAAAUAUGAUUGUUUGUUUUAGUAGAUGCAAUAAUAUAUGCUAUGUUUUCUAUUAAAAAAACAGAGGUUGUUAUAUAUGUAGCCACUGAAACAUGAUAGUGCUUUCUGAUUUUCUCUUUUUUCCUGAAUAUGAAAUAUGAUUGUUUAUUCUAGUAGAUGCAAUAAUCUAUGCUAUGUUUUCUGUUAAAAAAGAGAAGAUGUUAUAUAUGUAGCCACUUUGAGUAGAAUAUUGAUAAUAUCUUGAUCGAACCAGUAAAUGUUAAACAAUAUGCAAUCUUAUUUUUACUAUACACUUGUCCUAUUAUAAUUAUUUGAUUAUAUAAUUGAUAUAUUAAUUACGAGUUAUGUUCAGUAAUACAAGAUGAUACUUUAGCUAUCUGAUUCAGAAAUAUCCUUCUUUAUCUGUGAAAUUCUAGCUAGCCUGAAGCUCAGCUUUAGUUCAAGGAUAUAUCAGCAACAAUGGUUGUAGAACUAUAACAAUUGUUAUGUUUAUUGUUCCUGCAAUAUAUAUACCAAGCUGAUCAGAGGUUGCAAGAGGUUGCACCGCUAACAAAGUUAUUGCUCUAAAUCCAUUUCUUACUUAAAAAGGUAUAUAUUCAAGUGCAAUUACUCUAAAUCAAGUAGUAUUGCUGCUACUUGAUCAUUUAUUCAAACUAAAAAUCAUAGUUGAAUGUCAGCAAUCCAUCCGCUAUCCCAAAAAGACGCCUUUCCUUGUUUCUUCACCUAUAAUUCAUUGAGAAUACUAACAAAGUACUUGAAAAUGAGGUUGUAGAAUCCAUCGUAUUUCAGGGAAGGGAAGACAUAGUGUGAUUCACAUGAAUAACUAUAUAUAUAUAUAUAUAUAUAUAUAUAUAUAUAUAUAUAUAUAUAUAUAUUCAUCAUAUAUUUGUUCAUAGCGGAUCAAUGCUGACAAACAAAGGAUGGCAAAUAUAAUCCACUGAAAUCUUCUGAUGCCUAUUUUCACCAUUAGCACUAUAAAGGAAAUUACAAUGAUUUUUCCCAAAACUAGACAACAAUUUCUUAGGGACUUUUAUAACUGAAAGUAAAUGCUAAGGCAUAGAACAAUAAAACAGUAGAUGGUUCUGGCAGUAAAUACAUAACACAAAAUGCUUGUAAAUUUUAUGUGAUUAUUUUGUAUAUGUUGGGUAUAUAAAUUGUUCUUUGUACUGUUGAAUGUUACUGUCUUGCAGACAGGUAAGAUGCUAAUUGAUUUUGGAGCUAGUAGAGUAGUGAAUAAUUUUGAAAUUGCAUUACAACAUCAUCUUGAAUAAUUUCUUUUAUUUAUCCUAUACUUAAUUAUAAGUUUUUUUUCUUCUCCAGCUAUGGUGAUAUUCUAACGAAUAACUCAACCAUGCAUGAUGAGAAUGACAACGCAGAUGAUGACGACUCUCAAGAGAACUCCAUGGAGAAUUUAGGAUGAUUUAGCUUUGCUUUACUUAUCAAUUUUAUUAGUUUAGGGUUCUUUGAUAGAUGUUGGGGUUUGUUAAUUAUUUGAUGAACCUAUGACAUGUACCUACCUAUUAAGUAGUUGGUUAUGAAUUUAUUUUUAAUUAAGUGGAUCAUAUUUCUUCAUUUUAAUAAAUUUGUAUGAUUUUUCGUUUCAAAUUUAUUGUAAUUUAUGGCAUUUAUAGAUUUGAAAUAUAAAAUUGGCAAUUAAAUAUAUUUUAAUAUAGGAAUUUAGUGAUGGCUUUACUAUCACCAAAACGUAUAAAAAGGUUACAAAAAUAGGGAUAAUUGUGAUUGUUUUAGCCAUCACAAG